GGGGUUGUGGCUCACUGGUAGAGCGCUUGCCUUGAAUGUAUGAGGCACUGGGUUUGAUUCUCAGCACCA
rfam:Ictidomys tridecemlineatus contig022634, whole genome shotgun sequence.